UAGCAUCUUCAAAGACUUAUUUAAGUCAGCAAUUCGGACACCCUUUCUUGAGGAAUACCUCUCACAUAAUUUCUCCAGGAUUUUUCUUCCUGUACAUGCUAAUAUUGAAUGGACUUCUUAGCUAUGCAUAUUACUCACACAAACGCAUUUAGCGGGUUUACAAAUAAGCACUUGAUCUGGCUUCACCAGAUGUUUGUUUCGAAGAAGGGAGCUUUUUUUUUUUUUUUUUUUUCUUAUGGUAUAAUUUAAAGGAAUACAAAUAUUGCCUUUCCAACACAUACUACGACCAGAUUUAUCACACCACUAGUAUCGCCUAAAAGAUACAUAAAGAUGACGAAGUUGGGCCAGAAAUUAUCCAUGCAAUUCUACAAUUAAUCAAUAUCCUGAAAUUUAGCCCAGACGAAAAAAGAAUUAUUUGGAAGAGAUCGAAGGCAGCUCUAUCCCCUCAAUGUUUGCCUCCUCUCCUAAGAAAUAUAAUAUGAUAACGUGAAAUAGUAGCAUGCGAACACCAUUUUCACGCCUAGUAUGUAAAGCAAAUAUCAUACUGCUCAAAUACAUACGUAUCUAAUAAUUAUAUGUACAAGAGAGACAGAUAGGAGUCUAACCGUUUUGAAGAAACCCAGAAA
rnacentral:lncRNA from 1 species